CGUGUCGUGAGAUGUUGGGUUAAGUCCCGCAACGAGCGCAACCCUUGAUCUUAGUUGCCAGCAUUCAGUUGGGCACUCUAAGGUGACUGCCGGUGACAAACCGGAGGAAGGUGGGGAUGACGUCAAACCAUCAUGCCCCUUAUGACCUGGGCUACACACGUGCUACAAUGGACAGAACAAAGGGCAGCGAAACCGCGAGGUUAAGCCAAUCCCACAAAUCUGUUCUCAGUUCGGAUCGCAGUCUGCAACUCGACUGCGUGAAGCUGGAAUCGCUAGUAAUCGCGGAUCAGCAUGCCGCGGUGAAUACGUUCCCGGGCCUUGUACACACCGCCCGUCACACCACGAGAGUUUGUAACACCCGAAGUCGGUGAGGUAACCUUUUAGGAGCCAGCCGCCGAAGGUGGGACAGAUGAUUGGGGU
rnacentral:rRNA from 1 species